CAACGUGGACGCUCCCAUGUGUACAGGACCUAAAAGUCAACGAGCCAGUGAAGUGGCUGUGCUAUAACGGCAUGGCUAUUGUAGCCGAACUGGGAGUGGUAGCACCUGCUUGAAGAAGCAUACGUGAUGAAGCUUAUAAAAAAAGAGGUCACAUGGGAGCUACAGUACGUUCCUUGGUUCUUUGAACGCUUCCUGCAUCCACACUCUGCUUUUUAUUAGCCAGUACCAUGGCAGCACCUGCAGGGAUGUACACACACGGCAAUUUAAAGAGGCUCUCUAAGCAUCGCUCUCCAAAACUAAAUCAUGGAUUGGAUUAACUGCGCUGGUGUAUCACAGAAUUCGGAAGACGGGCACAGCAGUACAAGAUCGCCAGCAGCUGCCAGUCAUGAUUGAUGGAUGGACCAAGAGACCAGAAUGGACAGAGUAGCCAAGUCUAUUGGAAUGAGACACCUGUUGAUUGUUGACUCUGUCUGGGGUCGUCUCCAUGGCAACUGCUGCAUUAUCGCGAUGGCACUUCGCCGCUUCAUUCGAUUGCGGUGGCUGGCAGCCUGCGCUGGAACACCUACACCCGCUUUCCCCCUUCUCCUGGUAAAAGUAUUUGAGUUCUAAUAUUGUAAAGUGUGCUUAUUUGUGCCCAUGUUGCUGGGUUUUUUUUUUUUUUUUAACAGUCUCACAUUGUACUCCCCCACAGGAGAAUAGUUUGGGGUUGUUGUUUUUUCUCUUUUCUGGUAUUUUGUAUAUAUAUAUAAAUAUAUAUGGACAGGCCAUUCUGAAGUUUAUUGUUAUGGUUCUGUUAUUUUUUCCUUUCCUCUCCAAUAAUAAUAAUAUGACCUAUGACUUCUACAAUUCAAGUAAAGUCUGAUUUGGAGCGUUUUUGCAAAGAAGAGUGGAAGAAAAACAACUGAGGUUUGAAAAAUACAUUUUUUUCCAAGCAGCUGCAAAUACGAGCCCAAAAGUCCUCUGGCACUUUUCCCAUA